rnacentral:rRNA from 1 species
UACAGAGGUCUCAAGCGUUGUUCGGAUUCAUUGGGCGUAAAGGGUGUGUAGGUGGCGCCGUAAGUCGGGUGUGAAAUUUCGGAGCUAACUCCGAACUGCAUUCGAUACUGCGGUGCUUGAGGACUGGAGAGGAGACUGGAAUUCAUGGUGUAGCAGUGAAAUGCGUAGAGAUCAUGAGGGAAGACCGUGGCGAAGCGGGUCUCUGGACAGUUCCUUGACACUGAGGCACGAGGCCAGGGGAGCAAACGGGGAUUAGAUACCCUAUAAGUCCC